rnacentral:lncRNA from 1 species
UUUUUUUUUUUUUUUUUUUUUUAGGGCUGCACCCGCAGCCUAUGGAGGUUUCCAGCCAAGGGGUUGAAUUGGAGCUGUAGUCACCAGCCACAGCCACAGCCACAGCAAUGCCAGAUCUGAGCUGCAUCUGCAACCUACACCACAGCUCAUGGCAAUGCUGGAUCCUUAACCCACGGAGUGAUGCCAGGGAUCAAACCUGCAUGCUCAUGGAUGCUAGUCAGAUUCGUUUCUGCUGCGCCGUGACGGGAACUCCAGAUCCAUAUAACUUUAAAGAUUUAAAACUUCUUAAACUUCACUGUUUUCCUGGGUAAAAAGAAAAGGGUCGUUGUUAGAACAAACACUAUCACGUGUUCACAUGUACCAAGCAUUUUAUGUGUUUGAUCUCGUUCAAGUCCCUUGAUGACCUGAUGGGACUUGCUGGGUAUUUUCAGUUCUCUUUUUCAGACCCACUCUCUACUCUCAUGCACGCUGCUCUGUGCCCCAAGAGGCUGAGUUCUAGACACACCAUCUGUGGGCAGCCUUGGGUUCUGCAAAGGACGGGAGGAGAGAAGAGUGAGCUCAGCCAUCGCCCUUGCCCCCCAGGGUUACCUUGUUGGCUGAUCCCUCCAUCAGUUCACAGCCAUCACCAAGGAGUAUCGCUCUUCUGAGAUCUUGCUCUCCAGUCCUGGAUGAGGGGCCCCACUCUUUUCAGCCCUAGCGUACAACACUACCCCCAAUAUUUGCCUACACUUGGUCCGCUUCCUUAUGACUCCUCCCUUUAUUAAAUUCUCCUUUCCUUACCUGGUUGGAGUGUGCAGUCUGUUCCUGCCAGAACCUGGCUGAGACAGAAGCAGUUACUAACACGAUCCCCAUGUUACAGGGAAGGAAACUGAAGCAUAGAGAGGCUGAGGGACGAAGGCCAAGAGGCCACACCCAGUGAGAAGUAGGAUAGGGAUUCAGAUCCAGCUGUGUCUGAUCUCGGAGCCUCAGGGUUAAUGACUGCCCCUCAGCGCUUCUGGAAGGACUUUAUUGGGUCGACAGUCUCUGACAAAGGCACCCCUAACUCCAGGUCCUGAGCACUGCUCUUGAAGCCUAACCCAGCCCCCAUUCCUGCCUCCUCAGAGGGAGCGUGUAAAGCUCCAUCUGCUUUCUCUCUCCAUCAUCCUUUGGGACCAAAGUCAGGUGCAUGGAGGCAGACAGCCUGGUCCAGGAUGCAGACUGCACCGCAGCUCGAAGAAACCCCUGGAGGAGUGACUGAGUCUGGCUUCCUUGGCACUGUGUACCCUCAUCCGAGGGGCAGGACAUGGAUGGGAUGGAUCAUGGGGCGCAGGAGCUUCAGAGCUGCUCACCUCAUCCUGGGGUCCUUUCUGGGAGCACAGGUGUCCUUCCAGGAGCUCCAGAAGGUGGCUCAACCCCUUUCCUCUCUGUUCUUCAGGGCUGGGUUGUAGAAAAUGCAGGUGCCUGCGUGGGAGAGGAUGCUUGGCCCUUGCCUGGUUUCAUGCAUUUCCCUCGUGUGCUCUUUCUUGAAGAUGCUUAGACACCAGCAGGGGCAGCUGAGUUGGUUUACAGAAUAAGUUGUCAUACUGUUUAAAGAGCCAGAGGAUGAGCUAAGUGCUCCUACUUCAAGAGCACAGAGGUCAGUGCUCACAAAAGCCAUCGCAUUUUUCCCAUCCCCCUUUCAGAACACAGAGGAAAGUCAGGGCCAAGAGCAGAAAUGUGCUGGGAAACUGGCAAUGCUGGGAAGACCGCUGGGAAAUGAACAAAGGACACUAGCUAUCAUUUUGAGAGUGUGAUACGUACCAGGCAGUGUGCUGAGGGACAACACGUAUUAUCUCAUUUAAUCUUUUUUUUUUUCCUUCUUUUUCUUUUAAGGGCCGCACCUGCAGCAUAUGGAAGUUCCUGAGCCAUAAGGGGAACUCAUGUCAUUUAAUCUUUACAGCUCUAUGAGGGUGAGCGAAUUAUCCCCGUUCUACCAAUGAGGAAGCUGAGGAUCCAUAAGAGAAAGUACACUAUCUCCAGAUCGACCUUUCUAAUAAGGAGCAGCGCUGGAAGCGAAAGCCAACUCCGUCUUCAGACCUUUGAACUUUAGCUGAUUAUUCAAAACUCUGGGUUAGACGCCUGGCAUAUAUAAUCUGUUAAUCCGAUCCUGUGGGUAUGGUGCAGCCGCACGAACAUCCCACCGUACCUAUAACCUCACCACCCACGUAAUUUCUCCCCCCUCCCCAGGGGGCCUCCUCACCCCGUCCCCCCUUUUCUGAGGUUGCUUUCUUGCCAGUUUCCUCUUCUCCUCAUUGUGAAAUGGUUUUCUCUCUGUUGCUGCCUGUCCCAGCCCUUAGGCGAGAGGCCCUGGAAUUGAUUCGCUAGUGUUUGCCCUGACCUGUCUGUCGCAUCUCACACUCACGCCGGGGGAUGCUUUGCCUCUCCGCUUUAUUAAUCAUUGCAAUUUGACGUGGUGUGUGUUUUAUGGUCUCUACUUCCGCCCCUACUUUGCCCCCAUUCAAUUCUGUUUACCUUUUAAAGCAGCACUGGAAAGGAAAAUCUAUUUCUCCUGCCAGAUGGUUAAAAAAAGAAAAGCAAAGGCUUUCGACACGCGCAUGCGCGCGCCCGCGCGCUCGCAUUUCUGCCUCCAGUUUUCCGCUCUAACACACAGAUGAGUAGGCGAGGUGAGCAAACCCCAGCUCCUUGCUUUUGCUCAUGAGCAGUAGAUAGAUUGUCCUAGAUCCUGUCCCCAAAGCAAAGCAUCACACACUUGAACGUGCAUAUACACAGCACCCGGGCCUCAUGUGAAGAUGCAGAUUCUGAUUCCAUAGGUCCUGAGUGGAAUCUGAGAUUCUGGGUUUCUUGCCAAGAGGGUAGCAAGGUGAUACUUGACAUCAGGCCCCAGAGUUUCCCCGCCCUCUUUCUUCCACGCCUCCGUUUCCGUCCCUGAUGUCUUUCCAUCAUUCCAGGAAUGCCCUGGCCUCGGAAGCUCCCGUGGGCUCCCUGGCCAUGCCACAUCUCCCUCGGAUGCUGUGCCCAGCUCAGGGCCAUCGCCUUUUAUGGCUGUGGGCCUCUCUGGUUUAGGUUGGAGUCUCCCUGCUAAGCCCUUCCCAGGAUAACUGUUAGCUGUCCCUGGCUGGGAGACAAAAGAAAUGCAUUUUGCUGGAGCCAGUUUUUCCCUCGAACACUAAUGGUACCUUUAUCUCGGGGUAAUUAAAGCUCUGACUGAUGAAUGCAUAAUUACGCCUAAGCCGGACUAAAAUGAUCACCUUGGUUUUUCAUCUUUUAGCUUUUACUUCAUUUGGAGAGGUAACAGUCUCGGGCGUGCUUUAGAGAAUAGCUAUUUGGAGGUGUCUGGGUUGGGUGGCGUCCUCUGGGGGACCCGGCACCCCCACACAUCCUGUGGUGUGUGAAGGCCAGAGCUGUCUCUGUCUCCGUGAAAUAGUGGCUUUGGGUGGCUGAAGGGGCCUUGGGGAAGGCAUAAAAUUUGUUGGGAUUUGCCAGGCUGGAGGUGCAAGCUCUGGCCCAUGGGUCUGGUCCAAUUCUGCCUCUGGACGAAAGGGGAGACGGGGCUUGCCUGUCUCUGGUACCUGGGGCAUUGACCUCCCCUUGACCCUCCCUGUUUGAGAACAGGCUCAUUCUUCAUUCUGGCUGCCCUUGACCGUAGCUAUGCCAGUAUCACUGUCCUCCUGUGGGCGUCCCACCCCUGGGUCAGGGCUGACUCGACUGCUCUCCUCCUGGGAAGACGCCCAGGGGAGCGAGGCGAGUGGUGGGUAAAUGUCCAGAUCUUCAAACACCUGAGUCAAAGGAUGCCCAUAGAGUGAUGGCAGACCAUGGAUUCUAGCCACCAAAUGAACCCGCACGCCCCUCUCCCUCACGCGAGCUCGGCCACCGAGGACAAUUUGCUAAACUCUUCUGACUCUCAAGUGUGAGAUGGAGAAGAUGAUGGUAUCAACAUCACAGGAUGGACUCAUAGAAAUGAAGUAUGCUUUGGCUUAGCACACGGGCUGGCUAUUGCUUUCCGGAUCCCUAUACCCGUGUGUGCUCCUUGGGUACCAUAGACCAAUAGGAAUUGUUUGAGUCACCACCUCGGAGGGUUCUCUUCCUCCUUAAAACAUCCUCAAAUACUCUUGCACCUCAGUGGGAUCCCAAGGGACAGGUGCAAUGGGCUGUUUCUUUAAGUGGUUGGUAUGGGUUUGCAAUGAGUUCUCGCCUGAUCUCCGCAAGCACGGGGCUCCUGUGAGGGGCAAUUAGCUGGGUCUAAACAUACAUGAGACAAUGAAAGAAAUCAUCUGAAGGCAUUCAGGAGUUAAGUAGACCCUUGAUGGAUAACUACUACCUGCCAUGAUCUGUGCUGUGUACUUUUCACAGACGUUAAUUUAUCUUUGCCACAAUCUCAUGUGGUAGAUAUUUCUACUUUCCUGGGACACGUGAAGAUACCAAGGCUUAGAGGGGCUCCUCCUAGUUUAUAUCACUGCUAACUAAUCCCUGCUGGGCUCCCCUCUCCCAGUGAAGGCUUUGGCACUACUGUCUUUUGAGCCUGACUUUCUGGCUCCUUUUAUCUUCCUUCCACUCACUCCCAAGUUUCCUAAAUGUGCCUGCCUUCCCCUAGAAGACAUUCAUUUCAAUUCCUAGUGGAACACCAGGCUUCCACUCAGGCAUCUAUUGACACAGCCACUCAAAGGUCAACAAUAACCUGCCUCUCAUUGUGUUGUCCUAGGCAAGGAUCUUUUCUCAGUGGGUCUUCUCUUUCUUUUCUGGCACAUUCCAUUGUUGAUGGGAGCUUUUUCCUUGGGCUCGAAGACACUACAUCAUUACCAGUUCACCUCCUGCCUCCUUGUGCAUCACUGCUCUCUCUGCCGCCCCUUUCUCCAUUGCAUUUUGGUCCAAUUGACAUAUCGGAUUUCUCGAAAACCUCCCAAUGUCAUAAUUUCAGCUCCAUCUUUUUUCCUGACCCUUGUCUAAACUCAUAUUUUCUGACAUUGCCUCUAACAAGCUACAGGCACAGUGGUAACGAACCCAACUAGCAUCCAUGAGGAUGCAGGUUUGAUCCCAGGCCUCGCUCAGUGGGUUAGGGAUCUGGUGUUGCCAUGAGCUGUGGUGCAGGUCACAGAUGCAGCUCAGAUCCCGAGUUCCUGUGGCUGUGGCGUAGG